GACGAACGCUGGCGGCGUGCUUAACACAUGCAAGUCGAACGGAAAGGCCCUGCUUUUGUGGGGUGCUCGAGUGGCGAACGGGUGAGUAACACGUGAGUAACCUGCCCUUGACUUGGGGAUAACUUCAGGAAACUGGGGCUAAUACCGGAUAGGAGCUCCUGCUGCAUGGUGGGGGUUGGAAAGUUUCGGCGGUUGGGGAUGGACUCGCGGCUUAUCAGCUUGUUGGUGGGGUAGUGGCUUACCAAGGCUUUGACGGGUAGCCGGCCUGAGAGGGUGACCGGCCACAUUGGGACUGAGAUACGGCUCAGACUCCUACGGGAGGCAGCAGUGGGGAAUAUUGCACAAUGGGCGGAAGCCUGAUGCAGCAACGCCGCGUGCGGGAUGACGGCCUUCGGGUUGUAAACCGCUUUCGCCUGUGACGAAGCGUGAGUGACGGUAAUGGGUAAAGAAGCACCGGCUAACUACGUG
rnacentral:rRNA from 1 species